AGUGGCAUUGACUUAAGAGUUUGUGAGAAGUUUUGUGAUUGUAUUUCGUCUAAUAACAGCUUUUUUAAAAGCUAUAUAUUUGGAAUCCUUACACACUUGGAUUAUUUGUGUCAGUCAGUCACCUCUUGGUACCAGGUAAACUUGUGGCUCUGUGACCUGAGUGGAGUGUGCUGUCUAAAGCAUUGUUGUAAGUGAACUGGUGCGGGGAGAAGGUGUUCAACUACUGCUGUGUUUUUUGUACACUGUGGUAUUGCGAUUGUACAAGAUGCCAGUUCUGAAGGGACAUCGCAUGCGUCGUGGUCCAAAAGGCAAGAAAACGGUUGGUGAUGUGAGUCCUGUUUGUUUGUGCAAUGAGGUACUACCUAAAGGAAUUGUCUUUGGAUCUAAAUUGUUGGAAAGUAAAUCCUGGUUUCGUUGUAGAAAAGGUCUGGGUUGUGCUGUGACAGCGGUCAUUAAAAAUGAGAGUGUUCCCAUUUGCACAUGGAAGGGAAAUGAUUUGGAUAAUUUGCAACGCGAGGCUUCUAGUAUAUGGGGUAGUCAGCUUUUGGAGUGCAACUAUAUGAGUGGUAGCACAACCAAUGUACGUUACGAUGACAAAGAAUGGUUUGUUACCCUGGAUGGUAAAGAAAUGAGCAUAAAAGAGGGCAAGGAAGAAGAAAUGAUGGAAGCCAUUAAACUGAGGUUAUCUACGAAUAAUGCUUGUUUGUUUGGAGUGAUUGGAAUGUGGUGUGCCAUUGUUAAACACAAGGACUAUUUGGCGUUGGUUGAUUUCAAUGUACGUGAUGUAGACGGAAUGGCCUCUUCUAUGGGACGUGCUGUU